AUUGAACGCUGGCGGCAUGCCUUACACAUGCAAGUCGAACGGCAGCGGACCUUCGGGUGCCGGCGAGUGGCGAACGGGUGAGUAAUAUAUCGGAACGUACCUUUCAGUGGGGGAUAACGUAGCGAAAGUUACGCUAAUACCGCAUAUUCUGUGAGCAGGAAAGCAGGGGAUCGCAAGACCUUGCGCUGAUUGAGCGGCCGAUAUCAGAUUAGCUAGUUGGUGAGGUAAAGGCUCACCAAGGCGACGAUCUGUAGCGGGUCUGAGAGGAUGAUCCGCCACACUGGAACUGAGACACGGUCCAGACUCCUACGGGAGGCAGCAGUGGGGAAUAUUGGACAAUGGGCGAAAGCCUGAUCCAGCAAUGCCGCGUGUGUGAAGAAGGCCUGAGGGUUGUAAAGCACUUUCAAUCGUGAAGAAAAGUUGCAGGCUAAUACCCUGUGACCUUGACGUUAACGAUACAAGAAGCACCGGCUAACUCCGU
rnacentral:rRNA from 1 species